GGUGGGCAUGCGUAACAUUAGCUAGUUGGUAAGGUAACGGCUUACCAAGGCGACGAUGUUUAGGGGUCCUGAGAGGGUGAUCCCCCACACUGGUACUGAGACACGGACCAGACUCCUACGGGAGGCAGCAGUGAGGAAUAUUGGUCAAUGGGCGUAAGCCUGAACCAGCCAUCCCGCGUGAAGGAAGAAGGCGCUAUGCGUUGUAAACUUCUUUUCCAGGGGAAGAAAACCCCCGACGUGUCGGGGCUUGUCGGUACCCUGGGAAUAAGCAUCGGCUAACUCCGUGCCAGCAGCCGCGGUAAUACGGAGGAUGCGAGCGUUAUCCGGAUUUAUUGGGUUUAAAGGGUGCGUAGGCGGAUUAAUAAGUCAGCGGUGAAAACCUUCAGCUUAACUGGAGACUUGCCAUUGAUACUGUUAGUCUUGAGUACGGUCAAGGUAGGCGGAAUGUGUAAUGUAGCGGUGAAAUGCUUAGAUAUUACACAGAACACCGAUUGCGAAGGCAGCUUACUGGGCCAUUACUGACGCUGAUGCACGAAAGCGUGGGGAACGAACAGGAUUAGAU
rnacentral:rRNA from 1 species